rnacentral:lncRNA from 1 species
UGAAGGCCCAGGCGAUGCGGCCAUUGCCAGAAACAUAAAAUAUUGGAGCAAUCGCCAACAGUUUGAUUCCAAAAUCCAAAACAUUAGAUAGGUGAUGAAGGCCCAUAAUGAAACAUCACAGGGCACAUGUUGACCACCAAGCCUACCCAGUCGUCCACUCAACUUAAAUUUCACCCCGUCAUGAAGAGGAUGAAAGCCUG